GGGGAAUUAGGGUUCGAUUCCGGAGAGGGAGCCUGAGAAACGGCUACCACAUCCAAGGAAGGCAGCAGGCGCGCAAAUUACCCAAUCCCGACACGGGGAGGUAGUGACAAUAAAUAACAAUAUGGGGCUCUUACGAGUCUCGUAAUUGGAAUGAGUACAAUUUAAAUCUCUUAACGAGGAACAAUUGGAGGGCAAGUCUGGUGCCAGCAGCCGCGGUAAUUCCAGCUCCAAUAGCGUAUAUUAAAGUUGUUGCAGUUAAAAAGCUCGUAGUUGAAUUUCGGAAUCUGUCCGUCGGUCGGGCUUCACUGUCCGUACUGGUGUGAUGGGUUUCUACCUUCUGAAUAACCGGCAUGUCAUUAAUUUGGUGCGCCGGGGAAGCAGAACUAUUACCUUGAAAAAAUUAGAGUGCUUAAAGCAGGCUAUCGCCUGAAUAGAUUAGCAUGGAAUAAUAAAAUAGGACGGCAUGGUUCUAUUUUGUUGGUUUCUAGGAUCACCGUAAUGAUUAAUAGGGAUAGUUGGGGGCAUUAGUAUUCAAUUGUCAGAGGUGAAAUUCUUGGAUUUAUUGAAGACUAACUUCUGCGAAAGCAUUUGCCAAGGAUGUUUUCAUUAAUCAAGAACGAAAGUUAGGGGAUCGAAGACGAUCAGAUACGCGUCGUAGUCUUAACCAUAAACUAUGCCGACUAGGGAUCGGACGAUGUUAAU
rnacentral:rRNA from 1 species